rnacentral:rRNA from 1 species
GACGAACGCUGGCGGCGUGCUUAACACAUGCAAGUCGAACGGUGAAGCGCCUUCCUUUUUGGGGGGUGGGGAGGAGUGGCGAACGGGUGAGUAACACGUGAGUAACCUGCCCCCUUCUUCUGGAUAACCGCAUGAAAGUGUGGCUAAGACGGGAUAUUCUGGUUCUGUGGCAUGAUGGGUCUGGGAAAGAUAUUGUUUCGGUGGGGGAUGGGCUCGCGGCGGAUCAGCUGGUUGGUGGGGUGAUGGCCUACCAAGGCGGUGAGGGGUAGACGGCCUUAGAGGGUGGCCGGUCAGAGUGGGACUCAGACACGGCUCGGACUCCUACGGGGGGCAGCAGUGGGGAGUAGUGCACAAUGGGCGCAAGCCUGCUGCAGCGACGACGCGGGAGGGAUGGCGGCCUGCGGGUUGUGACCCUCUUUCGCCAGUGAAGCAGGCCUGCCUCGUUUGUGGGUGGGUUGACGGUAGCUGGAUAAGAAGCGCCGGCUAACUACGUG